rnacentral:rRNA from 1 species
GAUGAACGCUAGCGGCAGGCUUAACACAUGUAAGUCGAGGGGCAGCAGGGAUUUAGCUUGCUAAAUUCGCUGGCGACCGGCGCACGGGUGCGUAACGCGUAUCCAACCUUCCCGUUACUCCGGGAUAGCCUUCCGAAAGGGAGAUUAAUACCGGAUAGUGUUCAAAUGUCGCAUGUUAUUUGAACUAAAGAUUUAUCGGUAACGGAUGGGGAUGCGUGACAUUAGAUAGUAGGCGGGGUAACGGCCCACCUAGUCUACGAUGUCUAGGGGUUCUGAGAGGAAGAUCCCCCACACUGGAACUGAGACACGGUCCAG